AUGGUGGGGGUUAAUACCUUAAAACAUGGUUAUAUUUGGCGAGUUGGAAAUGGUCAGAAAAUCGACAUUUGGGAAGAUGCUUGGAUCCCUAACUGUGUUAACAGAAAAGUCAUCGCUCCAAAGGGGCAACAUUUGUUAUCAAAAGUGUUGGAUUUCAUUGACCCCUCUUCAAACAGGUGGGAUGAGGAUCUCAUCAGACAGACCUUGUGGCCCGUUAAUUCACAAGGGGUCCUUGCUAUCCCUCUGCCUCAGUUUGAUAUGUCAGAUUUUGUUGCCUGGAGCCAUACUAAGAGUGGGAUUUUUUCCGUUCGAUCUGCAUAUUUUGUUGGGUGGGAUUAUCAACAUGGAAGGAAACUUCGUCGUACUAAUGGAAUGGGUCGAACAAACUUUAAUCCAAUUUGGUGUAAGAUUUGGAAGUUAUCUUGUCCAGCGAAGGUGAAAUUUUUUAUUUGGCGAACGCUGCAUGGUACUCUUCCAUGUCGUGUUACGCUUGCUAAUAUACACAUGAAAGUUUCACCUUUAUGCCCUUUUUGUGCUUCUGGUUUAGAAGAUACAAAUCAUCUAUUGUUUCAGUGCCAGAAGGCAAAAGAGGUCUGGAGAAUGCUUGGCUUAGAUGAGAUCAUUGCUCAAGCUUGUGAAGUUGAUCGUGCUGGAGAGGCGGUCCUCGGUUUUUUGUUGCACAUGCCUGACCAAUAUUUAUCUAUUAUGGGGUCCCAGGAUAUUCGGGAGAUGAUUGCCAUUACGUCUUGGUAUUUGUGGUGGGAAAGACGAAAAUUAGUGCACAAGGAGAGAAUUCAAGAUGCAAAACAGAUUUCAAUGGGGAUACAAGCUCUUACGGCUAAUUAUGUUGUUGCUUCCAGUCUAAGGGCUUCUAUGAAAAGAGGGGGUCGGUUCAUCCCCCGGUGGGUUUUGUGA
rnacentral:rRNA from 1 species